rnacentral:rRNA from 1 species
AUUGAACGCUGGCGGCAUGCCUUACACAUGCAAGUCGAACGGCAGCACGGGAGUUUGCUCCUGGUGGCGAGUGGCGAACGGGUGAGUAAUACAUCGGAACGUACCCUGAAGUGGGGGAUAACGUAGCGAAAGUUACGCUAAUACCGCAUAUUCUGUGAGCAGGAAAGAGGGGGAUCGCAAGACCUCUUGCUUUAGGAGCGGCCGAUGUCGGAUUAGCUAGUUGGUGAGGUAAAGGCUCACCAAGGCGACGAUCCGUAGCGGGUCUGAGAGGAUGAUCCGCCACACUGGGACUGAGACACGGCCCAGACUCCUACGGGAGGCAGCAGUGGGGAAUUUUGGACAAUGGGCGCAAGCCUGAUCCAGCCAUGCCGCGUGAGUGAAGAAGGCCUCGGGUUGUAAAGCUCUUCGUGGGAGAAUGCUUCGGUUAAUACCUGGAGUAGAUGACGGUACCGCCAUAAGAAGCACCGGCUAACUACGUGCCAGCAGCCGCGGUAA